UACGUAGGGUGCGAGCGUUGUCCGGAAUUAUUGGGCGUAAAGAGCUCGUAGGCGGUGUGUCACGUCGGCCGUGAAAACCUGCAGCUUAACUGUGGGCGUGCGGUCGAUACGGGCAUCACUGGAGUUCGGCAGGGGAGGACUGGAAUUCCUGGUGUAGCGGUGAAAUGCGCAGAUAUCAGGAGGAACACCGGUGGCGAAGGCGGGUCUCUGGGCCGAUACUGACGCUGAGGAGCGAAAGCGUGGGGAGCGAACAGG
rnacentral:rRNA from 1 species